AAUAGCUUAUUUGGAACUUAUGUAGAAAUUAUCCAUACAUUGUGAAACAGACCCUUAAACUAUCAAUUGAUUGUCAAUAUAAAUGUAUAAAAAAUACAUUAUCUUAUCAGUAGAUAUAUUCUUGGUUCAUGAUAUCCUGAGUGUUUAAGGUACUCUUUAGGUAUACUCAUUAAAAAAAUAAAGUAUUUGAAGGUUUCAUAUCUAAUGUCACUUACAUGUUUAUUUUGUCAUUAAAAGUCACUGAAAUAUUGAAUUUCAUAAAAUUUUCUGUUUUUACACAAAAUGUUAACUAAAUAGAAGCCAAUUUAAGAAAUAUAUACCUGUAAUAAUGGGUAUUUGUACUUCAUUAUUUAAAACAAGUAUCAUCUUUGGAAGUGGGGUUUAUACAGGUGUAUAUGUAGCACAAACCUACCAGGAUUUUCUUUCUCUAUUUUGUAAGAGAACAGCACAAGAAUGUGAGAGAGCUCUGGAAAAAAAGAAAUGAUAGAAAAGGUGGAGUCCCCACAGGUUUUAUUUGAGAAAGCUCAGACUUUUAUUAAAGGAAAAAUUGAUGAGUUCAAUGGCAAAAAAGACUAAUGCAGUGUAAUGUAGGCUUGAAUUAAAUUGUAAAUACAGGGGUUGUAGUAUGAUUUUAUUUUAUAAUAAAUAAUACAUGAAGUUCUA